rnacentral:rRNA from 1 species
AGUGAACGCUGGCGGCAGGCCUAACACAUGCAAGUCGAGCGGCAGCGGGUCCUUCGGGAUGCCGGCGAGCGGCGGACGGGUGAGUAAUGCAUCGGAAUCUGCCCUGUCGUGGGGGAUAACCUAGGGAAACUUAGGCUAAUACCGCAUACGACCCACGGGUGAAAGCGGGGGAUCGCAAGACCUCGCGCGAUAGGAUGAGCCGAUGUCCGAUUAGCUAGUUGGCGGGGUAAAGGCCCACCAAGGCGACGAUCGGUAGCUGGUCUGAGAGGAUGAUCAGCCACACUGGGACUGGGACACGGCCCAGACUCCUACGGGAGGCAGCAGUGGGGAAUAUUGGACAAUGGGCGCAAGCCUGAUCCAGCCAUGCCGCGUGGGUGAAGAAGGCCUUCGGGUUGUAAAGCCCUUUUGUCCGGGAAGAAAUCGUCUGGGCUAAUACCCCGGGCGGAUGACGGUACCGGAAGAAUAAGCACCGGCUAACUUCGUG